rnacentral:rRNA from 1 species
AGUGAACGCUGGCGGUAGGCCUAACACAUGCAAGUCGAACGGCAGCACAGUAAGAGCUUGCUCUUACGGGUGGCGAGUGGCGGACGGGUGAGGAAUACAUCGGAAUCUACUUUUUCGUGGGGGAUAACGUAGGGAAACUUACGCUAAUACCGCAUACGACCUACGGGUGAAAGCAGGGGAUCUUCGGACCUUGCGCGAUUGAAUGAGCCGAUGUCGGAUUAGCUAGUUGGCGGGGUAAAGGCCCACCAAGGCGACGAUCCGUAGCUGGUCUGAGAGGAUGAUCAGUCACACUGGAACUGAGACACGGUCCAGACUCCUACGGGAGGCAGCAGUGGGGAAUAUUGGACAAUGGGCGCAAGCCUGAUCCAGCCAUACCGCGUGGGUGAAGAAGGCCUUCGGGUUGUAAAGCCCUUUUGUUGGGAAAGAAAAGCGGCAGGUUAAUACCCCGCUGUUCUGACGGUACCCAAAGAAUAAGCACCGGCUAACUUCGUG